rnacentral:sRNA from 1 species
UUUUUUUUUAGUUUUUCUAUUUAUAUAAGAAACAUGUCAAUAUCUAAACGAUAGACUUGACACGUAUCAUGAUCACGCGAGUUCAUAACUUUGAAAACCAUACUUUAUAUAUA